UGGGGAAUAUUGCACAAUGGAGGGAACUCUGAUGCAGCGACGCCGCGUGAGUGAUGAAGGAAUUCGUUUCGUAAAACUCUGUUCUAUGGGAAGAAAAGGACUGUACCAUAGGAGAAAGCUCCGGCUAAAUACGUGCCAGCAGCCGCGGUAAUACGUAUGGAGCGAGCGUUGUCCGGAAUUAUUGGGCGUAAAGGGUGCGCAGGCGGCUUUACAAGUUGAAUGUGAAAUAUUGUGGCUCAACCACAAACGUGCAUCCAAAACUGCAAAGCUUGAGUUAAGGAGAGGUAAGUGGAAUUCCUGGUGUAGCGGUGUAAUGCGUAGAUAUCAGGAGGAAUACCGGUGGCGAAGGCGACUUACCAGACUUAAACUGACGCUCAGGCACGAAAGCGUGGGGAGCAAACAGG
rnacentral:rRNA from 1 species